rnacentral:rRNA from 1 species
GACGAACGCUGGCGGCGCGCCUAACACAUGCAAGUCGAACGAGCAAAGAGGAGCUUGCCUCUCUGAGCGAGUGGCGAACGGGUGAGUAACGCGUGAGGAACCUGCCUCAAAGAGGGGGACAACAGUUGGAAACGACUGCUAAUACCGCAUAAGCCCACGGGUCGGCAUCGACCAGAGGGAAAAGGAGCAAUCCGCUUUGAGAUGGCCUCGCGUCCGAUUAGCUAGUUGGUGAGGUAAUGGCCCACCAAGGCGACGAUCGGUAGCCGGACUGAGAGGUUGAACGGCCACAUUGGGACUGAGACACGGCCCAGACUCCUACGGGAGGCAGCAGUGGGGAAUAUUGCACAAUGGGGGAAACCCUGAUGCAGCGACGCCGCGUGGAGGAAGAAGGUCUUCGGAUUGUAAACUCCUGUUGUUGAGGAAGAUAAUGACGGUACUCAACAAGGAAGUGACGGCUAACUACGUGCCAGCAGCCGCGGUAAAACGUAGGUCACAAGCGUUGUCCGGAAUUACUGGGUGUAAAGGGAGCGCAGGCGGGAAGACAAGUUGGAAGUGAAAUCCAUGGGCUCAACCCAUGAACUGCUUUCAAAACUGUUUUUCUUGAGUAGUGCAGAGGUAGACGGAAUUCCCGGUGUAGCGGUGGAAUGCGUAGAUAUCGGGAGGAACACCAGUGGCGAAGGCGGCCUACUGGGCACCAACUGACGCUGAGGCUCGAAAGUGUGGGUAGCAAACAGGAUUAGAUACCCUGGUAGUCCACACCGUAAACGAUGAUUACUAGGUGUUGGAGGAUUGACCCCUUCAGUGCCGCAGUUAACACAAUAAGUAAUCCACCUGGGGAGUACGACCGCAAGGUUGAAACUCAAAGGAAUUGACGGGGGCCCGCACAAGCAGUGGAGUAUGUGGUUUAAUUCGACGCAACGCGAAGAACCUUACCAAGUCUUGACAUCCUGCGACGGACAUAGAAAUAUGUCUUUCCUUCGGGACGCAGAGACAGGUGGCGCAUGGUUGUCGUCAGCUCGUGUCGUGAGAUGUUGGGUUAAGUCCCGCAACGAGCGCAACCCUUAUGGUCAGUUACUACGCAAGAGGACUCUGGCCAGACUGCCGUUGACAAAACGGAGGAAGGUGGGGAUGACGUCAAAUCAUCAUGCCCUUUAUGACUUGGGCUACACACGUACUACAAUGGCGUUAAACAAAGAGAAGCAAGACCGCGAGGUGGAGCAAAACUCAGAAACAACGUCCCAGUUCGGACUGCAGGCUGCAACUCGCCUGCACGAAGUCGGAAUUGCUAGUAAUCGUGGAUCAGCAUGCCACGGUGAAUACGUUCCCGGGCCU